rnacentral:rRNA from 1 species
GAUGAACGCUGGCGGCGUGCCUAAUACAUGCCAGUCGAGCGAACAGAUAAGGAGCUUGCUCCUUUGACGUUAGCGGCGGACGGGUGAGUAACACGUGGGUAACCUACCUAUAAGACUGGAAUAACUCCGGGAAACCGGGGCUAAUGCCGGAUAACAUUUAGAACCGCAUGGCUCUAAAGUGAAAGAUGGUUUUGCUAUCACUUAUAGAUGGACCCGCGCCGUAUUAGCUAGUUGGUAAGGUAACGGCUUACCAAGGCAACGAUACGUAGCCGACCUGAGAGGGUGAUCGGCCACACUGGAACUGAGACACGGUCCAGACUCCUACGGGAGGCAGCAGUAGGGAAUCUUCCGCAAUGGGCGAAAGCCUGACGGAGCAACGCCGCGUGAGUGAUGAAGGUCUUCGGAUCGUAAAACUCUGUUAUUAGGGAAGAACAAAUGUGUAAGUAACUGUGCACGUCUUGACGGUACCUAAUCAGAAAGCCACGGCUAACUACGUG